rnacentral:rRNA from 1 species
CCUACGGGUGGCAGCAGUGAGGAAUAUUGGUCAAUGGACGAGAGUCUGAACCAGCCAAGUAGCGUGAAGGAUGACUGCCCUAUGGGUUGUAAACUUCUUUUAUAUGGGAAUAAAAUGUUCCACGUGUGGGAUUUUGUAUGUACCAUAUGAAUAAGGAUCGGCUAACUCCGUGCCAGCAGCCGCGGUAAUACGGAGGAUCCGAGCGUUAUCCGGAUUUAUUGGGUAUAAAGGGAGCGUAGGUGGAUUGUUAAGUCAGUUGUGAAAGUUUGCGGCUCAACCGUAAAAUUGCAGUUGAAACUGGCAGUCUUGAGUACAGUAGAGGUGGGCGGAAGUCGUGGUGUAGCGGUGAAAUGCUUAGAUAUCACGAAGAACUCCGAUUGCGAAGGCAGUUCACUGGACUGCAACUGACACUGAGGCUCGAAAGUGUGGGUAUCAAACAGGAUUAGAUACCCUGGUAGUC